AACCAAGUGUGCUUCAGUAGUUCCACUUGACGCACACAAGAGCCUCCCCUUUCUCCCCUGCAACAACGCACACACCGUACCCUUUUUUCCCUACCUAACGGCAACAGUAGGUCAGCAGUGUUCAAUCGCGGUGCACUCUUCCAUGUACGAUGACGGCGCGGUGCUCUCCUCGACAGGCGAUGACGCGGUUCUCUCCUCAAUCCCUAACAUAGCCACUGUAACAACGCACACACCCUUUCUCCCCUUCCUAACGGCGACAGUAGCGUUCAAUCGCGGUGCACUCCUCCGCUACGGCGAAGGCGCGGUGCUAUCCUCGACAGACAACGGCGCGGUUCUCAAGCCUAACAUAGCCACUGCAACAACUCACAAACCCUAACAUAGCCACUACAACAACUCACAAACCCUUUCUCUCCUUCCUAAUGGUGACAGCAGCGCUCAAUCGCGGUGCAUUUCUCCACGUACGGCGACGACGCGGUGCUCUCCUUGACGGGCGCGGUGCUCAAUCGCGAGAAACCCCCUCUCCCUUCUCUUCUCCUUCUUGUUCUUACUCUGUUCGUCCGUUUCCAGAUUUGACUGCAACUUGCUUAUGGUUGGAUGAAGUUUUUUGAAGAGAUAAAGGCGAUUCUUGGCACAUUGGUGAAGCACAAAGUCUUUUUGGUUUCAAAUGAAAAAAAUAAUUUCUUUUUUGUUCAAGUUCAUCAUGAAAAAAACAUGUAUUUUGUUUAUUUAUGUUUAUUAUUUAUUUGACUUGGUAACUUAGCAAGUAUGUUUAUUGGCACUUGGAACACCUUUUUAUAUACAUGUAAUAUAUAUUAUUAGUUUAUUCUUCCUA